rnacentral:rRNA from 1 species
CCGCUAUUGGAGUUCGAUUAAGCCAUGCGAGUCGCGAGAAAUUAGAUUCUCGGCGUACCGCUCAGUAACACGUGGGUAACCUGCCCUAUGCUGGAUAAUAACCUCGGGAAACUGAGUAUAAUGAUCCAUAGUUCACUACGCCUGGAACGGUGAGUGGAUGAAAGCUCCGGCGGCAUAGGAUGGGCCUGCGGCGUAUCAGGUUGUAGGGGGUGUAACGUACCCUCUAGCCCUCUACGCGUACGGGUGUUGGGAGACAUAGCCCGGAGAUGGAUUCUGAGACACGAAUCCAGACCCUACGGGGUGCAGCGGGCGCGAAAACUUGGCAAUGCGAGAAAUCGUGACCAGGGAACUCCAAGUGCAUCGGGUAAGACCGGUGCUUUUCUUGACUCUAAAUAGGUCUUGGAAUAAGGGGUGGGUAAGGACGGUGCCAGCCGCCGCGGUAAUACCGGCGCCUCAAGUGGUAGUCGCUUUUAUUGGGCCUAAAACGUCCGUAGCCGGUCUGAUACAUUCGUGGGUAAAUCAACCAGCUCAACUGGUUGAAUUCUGCGAGGACGGUCAGACUUGGGACCGGGAGAGGUGUGGGGUACGCUCAGGGUAGGGGUAAAAUCCUGUCAUCCUGAGCGGACCACCUGUUGCGAAGGCGCCACACUAGAACGGAUCCGACGGUCAGGGACGAAGCCUAGGGGCACGAACCGGAUUAGAUACCCGGGUAGUCCUAGGUGUAAACGCUGUGGACUUGAUGUUGGGGGUGCUCCGAGCACUCUCAGUGUCGAAGCGAAGGUGAUAAGUCCACUGCCUGGGAAGUACGGUCGCAAGGCUGAAACUUAAAGGAAUUGGCGGGGGAGCACCGCAACCUGAGGAUUGUGCGG